UUGGAGGGCAAGUCUGGUGCCAGCAGCCGCGGUAAUUCCAGCUCCAAUAGCGUAUAUUAAAGUUGUUGCAGCUAAAAAGCUCGUAGUUGAAUUUCGGGGUCAGUAGGCUGGUCGUGCCACAGGUAUGUACUGGUCUCACUGAUUCCUCCUUCCUGAUGAACCGUAAUGCCAUUAAUUUGGUGUUGCGGGGAAUCUGGACUGUUACUUUGAAAAAAUUAGAGUGUUCAAAGCAGGCUUAUGUCUGAAUACAUUAGCAUGGAAUAAUAAAAUAGGACGGUGGUCCUGUUUUGUUGGUUUCUGAAUCACCGUAAUGAUUAAUAGGGAUAGUUGGGGGCAUUAGUAUUCAAUUGUCAGAGGUGAAAUUCUUGGAUUUAUUGAAGACUAACUACUGCGAAAGCAUUUGCCAAGGGUGUUUUCAUUAAUCAAGAACGAAAGUUAGGGGAUCGAAGACGAUCAGAUACCGUCGUAGUCUUAACCAUAAACUAUGCCGACUAGGGAUCGGAUGAUGUUAUUUUUAAUGACUCAUUCGGCGCCUUACGGGAAA
rnacentral:rRNA from 1 species